CACUUGUGCAUCGGCAAGGGCGUAGCUUUGCUGGAGAGCGCCGUCGAGGAAGUGGCAACGGUCGCGGCACAAAGAGACCGCCGGGAGCCGGUCGAGUUUCGAGGCGGCGCAGCCCAUGAACUGAAACGCCCUGCACGGCACAAAAACACAUAGCGAAUUAAUUUAA